rnacentral:rRNA from 1 species
UACGUAGGAGGCAAGCGUUGUCCGGAGUUACUGGGCGUAAAGCGUGUGUAGGCGGUUUGGCGCGUCCGAUGUGAAAUCUCCCGGCUUACCUGGGAGGGGGCAUGGGAUACGGUCAGACUUGAGGGCAUGAGAGGCCAGUAGAACUCCCGGUGGACCAGUGAAAUGGGUAGAGAUCGGGAAGAAUACCAGUGGUGCAGACGGCUGGCUGGCGUGUACCUGACGCUGAGACACGAAAGCAUGGGGAGCAAACAGG